rnacentral:tRNA from 1 species
GGCGCUGUGGCUUUGUUGGUCAAAGCGCCUGUCUAGUAAACAGGAGAUCCUGAAGAAGAUUUCUAUUCUCUCAGUGUAA